CCUACGGGAGACAGCAGUAGGGAAUAUUGCUCAAUGGGCGAAACCCUGAAGCAGCAACGCCGCGUGGAGGAUGAAGGUCUUCGGAUUGUAAACUCCUUUUGUUAGAGAAGAAAAUGACGGUAUCUAACCAACAACCAACGGCCAACUCCGUGCCAGCAGCCGCGGUAAUACGGAGGGUGCAAGCGUUACUCGGAAUAACUGGGCGUAAAGGGCGCGUAGGCGGGUUAGCAAGUCAGCGGUGAAAUCCUAUGGUUUAACCAUAGAACUGCAUUUGAAACUGGUAUUCUAGAGUAGGGGAGAGGUAUGUGGAAUUCGUGGUGUAGGGGUAAAAUCCGUAGAGAUCUAGAGGAAUACUCAUUGCGAAGGCGACCUGCUAGAACAUAACUGACGCUGAUGCGCGAAAGCGUGGGUAGCAAACAGGAUUAGAUACCCCUGUAGUC
rnacentral:rRNA from 1 species